rnacentral:misc_RNA from 1 species
CCUCCUCCUCCUCCUUCUCCUCCUUAACUAGUAUUAGUAGUAAUAAUAGCAGCAGUAAGGAAUAAUAAGAGAGGACAACCACAGAGAUUAAUGACUCCAGGCAAAAGAAAAUGUGAUGAAUUUUCUUUAUUUUUGUAAAUAGCACAAAAUUUAGAAAAUAGCAGGGUUUAAUCUUUUACAUUUCAAAAGAUUAGAGUGUUAAAAUUAGACAUGCUUUAUUUAGCAAAAUUCAAUGAGAUAAUAAAAGAGAACCUCAUGAGUUCAACACCUAAAAGACGCAUCACAUUCGACAAAAAACACACAAAAGAGACGAAGACCAACGAUUAAAAAGCAUAACUAAAGCAAAAACAGAACAAAACAAAAUUAAAGGUGAAGAAAGACUACUAAAUAAAAAAAUUAAAAA